CUCAGAUUGAACGCUAGCGGGAUGCCUUACACAUGCAAGUCGAACGGCAGCACGGACUUCGGUCUGGUGGCGAGUGGCGAACGGGUGAGUAAUGUAUCGGAACGUGCCUAGUAGCGGGGGAUAACUACGCGAAAGCGUAGCUAAUACCGCAUACGCCCUACGGGGGAAAGCAGGGGAUCGCAAGACCUUGCACUAUUAGAGCGGCCGAUAUCGGAUUAGCUAGUUGGUGGGGUAACGGCUCACCAAGGCGACGAUCCGUAGCUGGUUUGAGAGGACGACCAGCCACACUGGGACUGAGACACGGCCCAGACUCCUACGGGAGGCAGCAGUGGGGAAUUUUGGACAAUGGGGGAAACCCUGAUCCAGCCAUCCCGCGUGUGCGAUGAAGGCCUUCGGGUUGUAAAGCACUUUUGGCAGGAAAGAAACGUCAUGGGUUAAUACCCCGUGAAACUGACGGUACCUGCAGAAUAAGCACCGGCUAACUACGUGCCAGCAGCCGCGGUAAUACGUAGGGUGCAAGCGUUAAUCGGAAUUACUGGGCGUAAAGCGUGCG
rnacentral:rRNA from 1 species